rnacentral:lncRNA from 1 species
UAAAAUUAUGUUGAUUUUUUUGUUUUUAUAUUAUAUUCAUUUCUGAAUAUAUUUUCUCUAUUUCUCUAUGCAGUGAACCAUCCCCAGAAAAGAAAGAGAAAAAAGAAGUUCAGGAAAACUAACCAGUACAUAAUAAACGAAGGCAACAGUGGGUGGAAAGUUCCAUACUCAUAGUCCAACACCCUGCUAAGAAGAUAGUGAGGUGUAUUUUCUCAUCUAUUCUUUAGGGCCAACCUUAGUCAUUAUAAUCAUCCAGUGUACAAUGUUAGAAAUUGUUGUUUUUGUUGUUGAUGCCAUUCUUUCCAUUUAGAUUAUUGAAGGCAUUGUAUAUAUCAUUUUCCUGGAUCUGCAGACUACAUAUCAGUUCAUGCCUUCCCUUGCUUCUAUGUAUAGCAUAAGCUCUGCUUCUGUCUUUCUGAAAUCUAGGGAUAAGAAGAGAGACAAGGCAAGGUGGAGAGUAUCUUUCUAAUGUCAUAGCUCAUGAGCCCCUACUAGUCUACUUCAUCCACUGAUAAUCACUUGAUAGCAAUUAGUCAGCCAAGUAGUAUAUUAAGUGUAGUUGGAUUAAAAAUUGUCCAGAAGAAAGUGGAGUCAUGCAUAGAGUACACAUGUAUCAAAAGGGCAAUUCAUACUUCCUGGCUGUUGGAUGUCAAAACUCUUCUCCUCAUUGUGUUGGCACUCAGGAAACUCCACUAGACAUGGUACACUUAUUCAAGUGGACUGCUUGUAGAAUCUUGAAGCUACCUUCCUCAGCAUGUCUAAUUUGCCCUCAGCUUUUGAAGAGAACUCUGUUGCCAUCACUGCUCUUCCAGGGAAACUGCUACAAAGGAAAUGAAAAAGUUCAAAUCCCUCUGUCCUAUGAAGUUCACAAGGUCCUCUUCUGGCCAAGCUGCUGGAAACUGCCAUGGGGGAGACUGCCCUUUGCUCGUAAAGUCCAGGGACAAGGAGAAGAGGUAAAAAUAGCGGCGAGCGAGGCCCAAGGCGGGGCGAGGCUGGAGGUGCGGGCUUGACUGACCGCACGGUCAAGAACACCGGUUGUCAUCCCCGAGGGAGGAAGGCGAGGCGUGGGAGAGCUUGUGUUACCUGGGAUGGCUUCAGGAGAGCUAAGUCAGAUCCACAGCGCCCCGAGAAGUUUGCACCGAGCGUUCAGCUGGUCUUCUGAUGGCCUGGUUUAUGGAGUCAGCCUGGUGGAGGACAGAAAAAGAGUUUCUGGUGACGGCGAGGAAUAAACUUUCUCAUGGCCUGCA